GGGCCCGUGGUCUAGCGGUAGGAUGUCCGCCUAGCGCACCGAGGUCCCGGGUUCAAAUCCCGGCGGGCCCACCA
rnacentral:tRNA from 1 species